CCUACGGGAGGCAGCAGUGAGGAAUAUUGGUCAAUGGACGGAAGUCUGAACCAGCCAUGCCGCGUGCAGGAAGACGGCUCUAUGAGUUGUAAACUGCUUUUGUACAAGGGUAAACCUGAAUACGUGUAUUCUGCUGAAAGUACUGUACGAAUAAGGAACGGCUAACUCCGUGCCAGCAGCCGCGGUAAUACGGAGGAUCCAAGCGUUAUCCGGAUUUAUUGGGGUUAAAGGGUGCGUAGGCGGAUUGAUAAGUUAGAGGUGAAAUGUCCGGGCUUAACUCGGGAACUGCCUCUAAUACUGUUGAUCUAGAGAAUAGAUGCGGUAGGCGGAAUGUAUGGUGUAGCGGUGAAAUGCUUAGAGAUCAUACAGAACACCGAUUGCGAAGGCAGCUUACCAAUCUAUAUCUGACGUUGAGGCACGAAAGCGUGGGGAGCAAACAGGAUUAGAUACCCGAGUAGUC
rnacentral:rRNA from 1 species